AGUGAACGCUGGCGGCAGGCCUAAUACAUGCAAGUCGAACGGCAGCACAGGAAGUGCUUGCUCCUACGGGUGGCGAGUGGCGGACGGGUGAGGAAUAUAUCCGACUUUAUUUUUUCGUGGGGGAUUUCGUAGGGAAACCUACGCUAACACCGCAUACGACCUACGGGUGCAUUCAGUGGAUCUUCGGACCUUGCGCGAUACAAUGAGGCGGUGCCGGAUUUGCUAGUUGUCGGGGUAAAGGCGCACAAGGGCGCCGCUCCGUAGCUGGUGUGAGAGGGUGAUGAGCCACAGGGAAAGGGAGACAGGGCACAGUCUCCACGGGAGGCAGCGGUGGGGAAUAUUGGACAAGGGGCGCAAGCCUGAUCCAGCAAUACCGCGUGGGUGAAGAAGUCCUUCGGUUUGUAAAGCCCUUUUUUUGGGAAGGAAGAGCGGGAGAGUAAAACGCCGCUGUUGUGACGGUACCUAAAGAGUAAGCAACGGCUAACUUCGUG
rnacentral:rRNA from 1 species